GAUGAACGCUGGCGGCGUGCCUAAUACAUGCAAGUCGAGCGAACGGACGAGAAGCUUGCUUCUCUGAUGUUAGCGGCGGACGGGUGAGUAACACGUGGAUAACCUACCUAUAAGACUGGGAUAACUUCGGGAAACCGUAGCUAAUACCGGAUAAUAUUUUGAACCGCAUGGUUCAAAAGUGAAAGACGGUCUUGCUGUCACUUAUAGAUGGAUCCGCGCUCCAUUAGCUAGUUGGUAAGGUAACGGCUUACCAAGGCAACGAUGCAUAGCCGACCUGAGAGGGUGAUCGGCCACACUGGAACUGAGACACGGUCCAGACUCCUACGGGAGGCAGCAGUAGGGAAUCUUCCGCAAUGGGCGAAAGCCUGACGGAGCAACGCCGCGUGAGUGAUGAAGGUCUUCGGAUCGUAAAACUCUGUUAUUAGGGAAGAACAUAUGUGUAAGUAACUGUGCACAUCUUGACGGUACCUAAUCAGAAAGCCACGGCUAACUACGUG
rnacentral:rRNA from 1 species